GGGUUCUAGCCUCUGAUUGGACCACUAGUCAAAUCUGGCAACACUGGCCAGGUACUGUUGUUGCCUCGCAAUGAACCGUCGAGCAGGUGUGAAGACGGCCCCUCUCUAUCGUGGAGCCUUUUACCCUCCAGGAGGAGGUGCUGCUGCCGGUGAUCCUGUGAUGGUGCGGUUCUGUCGACAAAAACAGAGCAUGGGAGAAGACAGCCACAUCCUGAGAGGGUUGGAGUGUUGUGUUGACAUGGCUGCUGUAGCUGCAUGAUGAGUCUGAAACAUUCACCAGCAUUUACCUCCAUCAUCCUGUGACAGACUUUUCCAGGCCUCUCCUCAAGUGCAUGCAGUGAAAAGCGCCUGCCUGAACAAGAUGUAGAAAGUGGCUGCACGGAUGAACCAACGUCAACUGGUGUCCGUGAAUUCAGAGGGAAGGAGGCGGAGUUCAUCUGGUGUAAUAAAAGUAAGCUUGGAGGAAAAUGUGACAGAUGUGGAGGCCUGUGCCAGUGAGAAAAGCGAGAGUGGGACUGUCAGACAUGUCGACUCCGGCGUAGUGAUGGAUGGAGAGUGAGGUAAGACAGAUGACAUCGUCUGUCUGAGGCCAUGUUGUCAUAGCGGAGGAUUGCCGCUUGUCUUAACCUCUCAAUAUCAGAGAGCAAACUGAAGUUUGUUUACACUGCUCCAGUGGAGUGAUUUAGAAUGAGGGGCAAGGGAGACGUGGGUGUAGAAGGUAUGCUUGCUGGAGGGUCGGAUCAGGUUUCUAAACAUUCCCUUUGAAAUCGAAUAGCAACCAUCCCAGGCGUUUUAAACUCAACCAGCCCCGUUUAGUUACAAUCCUCAAGGUAGAGAAGAGUCCAAACACAAAUACAAACAGAAAAUUGAGUAUCAAUAUAAGUAUUGGCCUUUAGUUCCCCAUAUUAGUCAACAUCCAGCCUGGAUUCUGGCUACUGAAAAAAAAAUGAAAAUAUGAGUGAAUUACUGUCUCUAGUUUGUUACAGAACCAGAAUAAAGCAAUAAAAAAACAAAAUAUCAUAGCUGUUAUAAUUACAGAGACGCACUAAAGUGUGCUAAAUAGAAGACCUUUUGACAAUACUUUGUUUUGUAUCAGUAAUAUGGAUGAUUGUCUCCCUGUGGAGGUAUGUCAGAAUUUUUCUGCUAACAAAAAGGUGAGUAAAAUG